UUGCACGCUGGCGGCAUGCUUUACACAUGCCAGUCGGACGGCAGCACAGAGAAGCUUGCUUCUUGGGUGGCGAGUGGCGAACGGGUGAGUAAUAUAUCGGAACGUACCGAGUAAUGGGGGAUAACUAAUCGAAAGAUUAGCUAAUACCGCAUAUUCUCUGAGGAGGAAAGCAGGGGACCUUCGGGCCUUGCGUUAUUCGAGCGGCCGAUAUCUGAUUAGCUAGUUGGUGGGGUAAAGGCCUACCAAGGCGACGAUCAGUAGCGGGUCUGAGAGGAUGAUCCGCCACACUGGGACUGAGACACGGCCCAGACUCCUACGGGAGGCAGCAGUGGGGAAUUUUGGACAAUGGGCGCAAGCCUGAUCCAGCCAUGCCGCGUGUCUGAAGAAGGCCUUCGGGUUGUAAGGGACUUUUGUCAGGGAAGAAAAGGCUGUUGCUAAUACCGACAGCUGAUGACGGUACCUGAAGAAUAAGCACCGGCUAACUACGUG
rnacentral:rRNA from 1 species